ensembl:rRNA 5S_rRNA 5S ribosomal RNA
AACCACAGCCAUUUCACCCUGCACUCAAGACUGGUUACUCACUGAAGUUAAGCAGGGCUGAGCCUGUUCAGUCCCUGGAUGGAAGACCACAUGGGAAAACUAGGUUGCUGUUGGAA